UUAAUGGCCCUCCAAAGGGCCACAGUAAAUAAACAAAAAUACAAUAU
rfam:Oryctolagus cuniculus chromosome 1, whole genome shotgun sequence.